AAAAUGACUCUCGGGAAAAGAUAUCUCGGCUCUCGCAUCGAUGAAUAACGUAGCAAAAUAUGAUACUUGGUGUGAAAUGCAGAAUCCCAUGAACCAUAGAGUAUUUAAACGAAAGUUGUGCCCGAAGCCAUUAGGCCGAGGGCACGUCUUCCUGGGCGUCAUGCAUCGCAUUGCCCCUUCACAUCGUGCCUCAAUCAUGGGGUGCGCUGUUGUUGUGGGGCAGAUACUGUCCUCCCAUGUACCUCGAGCUCACGGUUGGCCUAAAUGCAAGUCCACAUCUAUGGACAUCGCGGCAAGUGGUGGUUGUAUCUCAACUCUCUUUGUUGUCGUGGCUAUAGCCCGUCAUGCGUCCGGACUCCAGGACCCUUUCACUCUUAGGCACUCCGACCGCGACCCCAGGUCAGGCGGGAUUACCCGCUGAGUGUAAGCAUAUUAAUAAGCAGAGGAAAAAAACUUACAAGGAUUCCCUUAGUAACAGCGAGCAACCCGGAAACACCCCAGCCUUAGAAUUGGGCGGCUCCAUCUUUCGAAUUAUAGUUUGGAGAAGCAUCCUUAGUAGCGGACCAGGCCCAAGUCCCUUGGAAGGGGCCGCCAGAGAGGAUGAGAGCCCCAUUAUGCCCGGACCCUGUCGCACCACGAUGCAUUGUCUAUGAGUCGGGUUGUUUGGAAAUGCAACCCAAAUCGGGUGGUGAAUUCCAUCCAAGGCUAAAUACGAGUGACAGACCGAUAGCGAACAAGUACCACGAGGGAAAGAUGAAAAGGACUUUGAAAAGAGAGUCAAUGACUGCUUGAAAUGGUCGGGAGGGAAGCGGAUGAGGGCUGGCGAUACGCCCUGCUCUCUCGAUACGCUCGUGGAAUGCCAUCUCCUCGAUUAUGGCAGUCAGCGCGCGCCUCCGGCGUGCUUCGGCAUCUGUACGCUACAGACCUGGCCUGUGGGCUCCCCAUUCAUCCCUUCUUGAAAAACAGACCAAAGAGUCUGACAUGUCUACGAGUCAACGGGUAAUUAAACCCGUAUGGCGUAAGGAAGCUGAUUAGGGGUAUUCCCUCGAGGGGUGCACCGCCGAUCGACCUUGAUCUUCUGAGAAGGGUUCGAGUGUGAGCAUACCUGUCGGGACUCGAAAGAUAGUGAUCUAUGCCUGAGCAGGGCGAAGCCAGAGGAAAAUCAUGUAGAGGCCCGCAGUGAUACUGAUAUACAAAUCGUUCAUUUGACUUGAGUGUAGGUCCCGCGGCUGCUUUUUCGAGCCGUGCCAUGAAAUCAAGAGCCCCAAGUGGGCAAUUUUUUGUAAGUAGAACUGGCGAUGCGAGAUAAACCGGCAGCUGGGUUACGGUGCCAAACUGUGUGCUAACCUAGAUCCCACAAAGGGUGUUGGUCGAUUAAGACAGCAGGACGGUGGUAAUGGAUGUCAUAAUCCGCUAAGAAGUGUGUAACAACUCACCUACCGAAUAAACUAGCCUCGAAAAUGGAUGGCACUUAAACACGCGACCUACACCCGACUGUCGGGGAAAGUUCCAGGCCCCGAUAAGUAAGAGAGCGCGGCUAUCGCUGCAAAACCAAGGGCGCGAGCCCGGUCAGAGUGGCCGUCAGUGCAGAUAUUGGUGGUAGUAGCAAAUAUUCAAAUGAGAACAUUGAAGGCCAAAGAGGGGAAAGGUUCCACGUGAACGGCACUUGCACAUAGAUUACUCGAUCCUAAGGGUCGGGGGAACCCCGAUAGAUCACGCAUUUUGUGCGUACUCCGAAAGGGAAUUGGGUUAAAUUUCCUGGACCGAGAUGUGGUAGUCGACGGUAAUGUUAGGAUGUCUGGAGACGUCGGCGGGAGCCUCGGGAAGAUUUAUCUUUUCUAUUUAACAGCCUGCCCACCCUAAAAUCGUCUCAGUCAGAGGUAAGGUCCAGCGGCUAAAUGAGCAUCGCACGUCUCAUUGUAUCCAGUGCACUAUCGGUCGCCGUCCACGCCCAAUCGUACUCAUAACCACAUCAGGUCUCCAAAGGGAACAGCCUCUGGUCGAUGGAACAAAGUAGGCAAGGAAAGUCAGAAAAAUGGAUCUGUCACUUCUGGAAAAGGAUUGGCACUGAGGGCUGGGCACGGGGGUCCCAGUCCCGAACCCGUUGGCUGUCGGUGGACUACUCGAGCUGCACCUGCAACGAUAGCGGGUCGCCGCAUGUCGAUUGGGGGACGGACUGGGAUCGGUUCCUUCGGGGGCCUUCCCCGCGCGUCGAACAGCCAACUCAGAAUUUGUACGGACAAGGGGAAUCUGACUGUUUAAUUAAAACAAAGCAUUGCGAUGGUCCCAACGGAUGUUCACGCAAUGUGAUUUCUGCCCAGUGCUCUGAAUGUCAAAGUGAAGAAAUUCAACCAAGCGCGGGUAAACGGCGGGAGUAACUAUGACUCUCUUAAGGUAUCCAGAUGCCUCGUCAUCUAAUUAGUGACGCACAUGAAUAGAUUAACGAGAUUCCCACUAUCCCUGUCUACUAUCCUACGAAACCACAGCCAAGGGUACGGGCUUGGCAGAAUCAGCGGGGAAAGAAGACCCUCUUGAGCUUGACUCUACUCCGACUUUGUGAAAUGACUUGAGAGGUAUAGUAUAAGUGAGAGACGAAAGGUAAAACUGAAAUACCACUACUUUUAACGUUAUUUUACUUAUUCUAUGACAUUGUCAGUUGGGGAGUUUGGCUGGGGCGGGACAUCUUUUAAAAGAUAACGCAGGUGUCCUAAGAUGAGCUCAACGAGAACAAAAAAUAUCGUGUGGAACAGAGGGGUAAAAGCUCAUUUGAUUCUGAUUUCUAGUACGAAUACGAACCAUAAAAGCGUGGCCUAACGAUCCUUUAGAACUUUGGAAUUUGAAACUAGAGGUGUUAGAAAAGUGUUAGCACAGGGAUAACUGGCCUGUUGCAGCCAAGCGUUCAUUGCAACGUUGCUUUUUCAUCCUUCGAUGUCGGCUCUUCCUAUUAUUGUGAAGCAGAAUUCACCAAUUAUUGGAAUGUUCACCCAUCAAUAGGGAAUGUGAGAUGGGUUUAGACCAUCGUGAGAUAAGUUAGUUUUACCCUACUUAUGACAGUAUCGCAGUAGUAAUUUAACCUAGUACGAGAAGAAACGUUGAUUCAAACAAUUUGUCGUUACGCUUGGUUAAAAAGCCAGUGGCGCAAAGCUACCGUGUGCUGGAUUAUGACUGAACGCCUCAAAGUUAGAAUCCGGGCUAGAAGCGAUGCAUGCGCCCACUGUCCGUUUGCCGACCCGCAGUAGGGGCCUCGGCCCCCAAGGGCACGUGUCGUUUGCCAUGCCACUGUGGCAAAAGAGUCACGAUGGCCGCCUUGAAGUAUAAUUUCCAUCUAACGGUGGGUAGAAUCCUUUGCAGACAACUUAAAUAUGUGACGGGGUAUUGUAAGUGGAAUAGUGGCCUUGCUGCCAUGAUCCACUGAGAUUCAUUCCUUAUUCGCUCUGGUUCAU
rnacentral:rRNA from 1 species